rnacentral:rRNA from 1 species
UACAGAGGUCUCAAGCGUUGUUCGGAUUCAUUGGGCGUAAAGGGUGCGUAGGCGGCGCGGUAAGUCGGGUGUGAAAUCUCGGAGCUUAACUUCGAAACUGCAUUCGAUACUGCCGUGCUUGAGGACUGGAGAGGAGACUGGAAUUUACGGUGUAGCGGUGAAAUGCGUAGAUAUCGUAAGGAAGACCAGUGGCGAAGGCGGCUUUCUGGUCUGUAACUGACGCUGAGGCGCGAAAGCGUGGGGAGCAAACAGG